UUCAAAUCAACUAGUAUUACUUAUUAUAUAACAGAGAGCUAUGAGGUUGUAAUGGAUUAUUUCGGCCACUUUAUUUCUGGAAAAUAUGUAAUCUAAUAAUGUGGGAACCAAUGGUGUAUCAGGGUUUCUUUUUUGGCAAUUUACUCCCGUCAACUUGCACUGCGUUAAAAGUUAGACCAAGUUAUUUUGGGAAUCCGCCUGACCAUGUCUUAUCAUACAGGGGGGAAAUGAAGUAACAAUCCCCUGCUUCUUUGUUGGACCAUUUCGAAUAUUUUUCAUCGCAGGGUAUGGCUUACUACCAGCGCAAACCGCUCUGGUGACAGGAGGACUAUGGGCUAUGUGUAGGUCAAGGAAUUCUGCACCCUAACAGCGCAAGGCGUUAUGUUGCCUUGAACCUCCUAGAGACAUCGUACAAUAGUAAAGGCUGGCAACACUUACUUACAUUGAUCUUCGCUUCCUAUUUGUUUUGUAUAACCGGACAUUGACACUGGUUAAAACAUUUUUUUGGGACAACAGUAAAAAGAAUGUAAAAAAAAGAGACAUUUUAGAAUCUGGGGAUAUUCAAAUGGACAUGAAAAAAACAAUGAACUAACUAGUUCAUUGUUUUUUUCAUGCCCAAUAGAUUGUCCUAGAGCUCGAGGUAGGGUUUUACACCAAAUAGGACUCACACCAGGUAGCGUUGUCAGUGUUACUAAUGUUAUGGUUCCCUAACUACCUAUUUGCUCCUGCCCUAAUCCACACUUUGUGAGAAUCUGAAUGUCCUCCCCCACUCCACUGCGGUUCUAGGCUGUGGUCAGGCAACUCUUUCUUGUGUUGGUAGUCAACAUGUGUCAAUGGGGAACUUGCAUCUCCGCAGCAUAAGAUGGAAACACCUGGAGUGAACACAUUUCCUGUGGAUGACGUUGAAUGGAGGUCUGCUGCCACAAUAUUAAACAUGUUCAGGUCAAUAUGUGAUCUUGUACAGCAAUAUAUAAUUUGAAUAUAAUUGAAAAAGAUUAAUUAAUAUAUAAAACAUAAGAAAACAUAGCUUUAUGAAUUACCUGCAUGCAUAACCAUGCUGUAAAAAAUCUAUUGAUACCCUUUUCAACUAUAUUGAGACUUCAAUGAUUAUCGGUUAUUUUGGGGGGUAUGUUAAUAACUCACAAAAUGAAUGAUUCCUGGUUACAAUGUAAUUUCUAAUAAAAAAUAGGCCUAUGUUGAUAAUGACAGAUAUUGCAUAUCACACACUGCAUCUGCAACCAUAAAGCCGCAUCGUAAACCUAGGUUUCAAAUCAUAAACAUAUGCAUAGAUAUUUUACCGCAAUAGAUUAGCCCCUUCACAAAUCCCAUGCAAAUAAUAUGAAAGUAUUCUUAUCCAUUUCCCUGAGUGACAUGUCUAACACAAGGAUGUGUUCUCUGUAUAGAGGAUAAGAGUGAGGGCUUUUGCACAACAGACCACAACAGUGAUCAGAGUAAGAGGUUUUUGUACGAGGAUAUAUCACUGUGUCCACCCCACUGUAUACACUGUGAUACAUGUAAUGACAAAAACCUACACAACGGACGUGCCUGCUUAAGCGAAGGCUAUGUAUGUUUCGGAGAGGGAUAAUGUUCCACAUGUGAAUAUUCAGAGACAAAAGGUAAACAAGCGUGCACUCAGAAUGUGGUUCAUAUAGCAUCACCCGAACACAGGUAAGAAUUAAGUUUAUAAUGGAAAUGGGCGGAAUGGGUAAUAAGCCACGCCUAUGUGUUCUGAUUCAUCCUGGUAAACCUUCGGUCGGCCUUGGCCUGGGCGGAAUGGCAAGAGGCCAUACCUGGAGGUUCUGACUUAUCUCAAACCCUUAAAUAUAUGUAGAUAGUGUUGUGUUCACCACUCUACUGUAAUUGUGGAAGAAAGAAGCUAUUCAGAACGGCUUGUAAGGCUAAUCACACUCACACUUGGUGGUAUACUAUGUCUCAUUUAAUCCAACCAGUAACACAGAAGAAAAGGUGGAAACUAAACAAUGAGUGCCACUACAGUUAGAAUUCACAUUAUAUGUUUUUGGAAUGCGGUUGUUUUUGUAGUCCAGUAGUAGAAGUGAUUACAUAAAAAAAAAAAAAAAUCAUAAUCACCCUGUCGACAAAAUACAAAUGAAAUGUAAACACUUUCAAAAUACCAAUUAAGUUUCAAGCGUUUAAAGAACAUUCAAUAUUCCUCUUCUCUGGGUUGCAAUUAUUAGAAUGUAAGCACCAAUACACGGACAUACACGCAUGUUAAUUGGCUAUUUGGUUACUUAAAGGAUCCCCACUGAUGCAUGGCAAUCAGCCCAUCUUCUUGGGGUCCGCACCUGACAUACUGUACAUGACACAGUACGUGUGAAAACUUAAAUUGCAUUAAUAUACAUUAAAUUACAUAAAUAAUAAUUUAUAUAAAAAAUGUAAAUCUAACGUUGAUAUGAAAGAAAUUAAAUAAAAUAAAUAAAUAAUUACAUUCCUAUUCAUUGCCAGUCAACACCGAUGAUUAGGUAGAAUACACAAAAAAAAGUAUAAAUAUAGCUGAUAUUUAAGACAAAUUACAAUUAUUCAACCCACAUGAAGCAGAACACAAAUAUUAAACACUAGUCCAGAGUUAUACCUCCUACUAUUCAGUCUGGGUUUGAUGUCCACUGAUUACCUUGAGGCAUCGUGGAGCAAGAUUCCUCUCUGGUCCUUAAUUACCUGUAUCUGAAUUCACUGCAUCUCACUUUGGAUAAAAGUGACUGCUCAAUGACUGAUUGGUAGAAGGCAGAAUGGUAACGCUCAUGGUAUUAAAGCUUAAAAGUAUUGAUGUGAUUAAUGGGGUUAAAUUGGAUCAUUAUUUCCCUGUAAUGCAAUCUCAAUCUAUAUUCUGUACUGUGUCUAUAGCACAAUAAUCUCUUUAGCACAAUACAAAAGAGCUGAGUCCUCAGCUUCAGACUCUUCUCAUUUAAGUAAGCCUCCUCUUGGCUGCUGUCUUUGGUGAGGGUGAACUGCUCUUGAAGAGAUGCAUCCCCUUUAUGAGCGAUCGGCGCUUGUUCCAUUGCGGAUUGCUAUUAUGAUGGCGGAUUGCCAGGCGCACGCCAAGAAAGGUUCACAACAGAUGAUGUCCAGAGGAGGGAGAAAAUAAUUUAUUUUUCGGCUAAAUUUCCUUUAAAUCUUUGCAACUUUUCAUUUUUCAUUUUGUUUUAUUUUUUUUCAUUUACGCCUACGAACAUUUGGACAAGUCGAAUAAAAAAUGUCUCAAGGACAUACUAUACUUUC